GCCGGGCAUUGUGGCAGGUGCCUGUAAUCCCAGCUACAUGGGAGGCUGAGGCAUGAGAAUCACUUGAACCCAGGAGAUUGAGGUUGCAGUGAGCUGAGGUAAUGCCACUGCACUCCAGCCUAGGUGACAAAGUGAGACUCUGUCUCAA
rnacentral:SRP_RNA from 1 species